rnacentral:rRNA from 1 species
UUGGAACAGAGUGUCAUAGAGGGUGAGAGUCCCGUAUGUGACCGUAGGCUCCAUGUGUAGCUCCUUCAAAGAGUCGAGUUGUUUGGGAAUGCAGCUCAAAAUGGGUGGUAAAUUUCAUCUAAAGCUAAAUAUUGGCUGGAGACCGAUAGCGCACAAGUAGAGUGAUCGAAAGAUGAAAAGCACUUUGGAAAGAGAGUUAAACAGUACGUGAAAUUGUUGAAGGGGAAACGCUUGUAGUCAGACUUGCGCGUGGUUGAUCAACCGGGUGCACUCUGCCACGAUCAGGCCAGCAUGGGUUUUGGCGGUCAGAUAAAGACUCAGGGAAUGUAGCUCUCUUCGGGGAGUGUUAUAGCCCUGGGUGUAAUAUGGCCAGCUGGGACCGAGGACCGCGCUUCGGCUAGGAUGCUGGCGUAAUGGCUAUAAGCGACUCGUCUUGAAACACGAACCAAGGAGUCUUGUUUGAGCGAGCGUUUGGGUGUUAAACCCAUGCGCGUAAUGAAAGUGAACGUAGGUGGGAAUCCGCGCACCAUCGACCGAUCUUGAAGUUUACGGAUGGAUUUGAGUGAGAGUUAUCAGGGACCCGAAAGAAAGUGAGCUAUGCCUAGGUAGGGUGAAGCCAAAGGAAACUUUGGUGGAAGCCCGCAGCGAUUCUGACGUGCAAAUCGAUCGUCAAACCAGGGUAUAGGGGCGAAAGACUUAUCGAACUUUCUAGUAGCUGGUUCCCGCCGAAGUUUCCCUCAGGAUUGGAUGAAUGUU